CCCUUGCAUGACUCUCGCCUUGGCAGAUUGAUGAGCCAUUUGUGGUGGCUUGCGGGGCCCGUGAAACUCUUGUGAGUAAUGCUUGGGAACAUGCCUUGAGGUGGGGGACAACAGUUGGAAACGACUGCUAAUACCGCAUAAUGUCUACGGACCAAAGGGGGCUUCGGCUCUCGCCUUUAGAUUGGCCCAAGUGGGAUUAGCUAGUUGGUGAGGUAAUGGCUCACCAAGGCGACGAUCCCUAGCUGGUUUGAGAGGAUGAUCAGCCACACUGGGACUGAGACACGGCCCAGACUCCUACGGGAGGCAGCAGUGGGGAAUAUUGCACAAUGGGCGCAAGCCUGAUGCAGCCAUGCCGCGUGUGUGAAGAAGGCCUUCGGGUUGUAAAGCACUUUCAGUCAGGAGGAAAGGUUAGUAGUUAAUACCUGCUAGCUGUGACGUUACUGACAGAAGAAGCACCGGCUAACUCCGUGCCAGCAGCCGCGGUAAUACGGAGGGUGCGAGCGUUAAUCGGAAUUACUGGGCGUAAAGCGUACGCAGGCGGUUUGUUAAGCGAGAUGUGAAAGCCCCGGGCUCAACCUGGGAACUGCAUUUCGAACUGGCAAACUAGAGUGUGAUAGAGGGUGGUAGAAUUUCAGGUGUAGCGGUGAAAUGCGUAGAGAUCUGAAGGAAUACCGAUGGCGAAGGCAGCCACCUGGGUCAACACUGACGCUCAUGUACGAAAGCGUGGGGAGCAAACAGGAUUAGAUACCCUGGUAGUCCACGCCGUAAACGAUGUCUACUAGAAGCUCGGAACCUCGGUUCUGUUUUUCAAAGCUAACGCAUUAAGUAGACCGCCUGGGGAGUACGGCCGCAAGGUUAAAACUCAAAUGAAUUGACGGGGGCCCGCACAAGCGGUGGAGCAUGUGGUUUAAUUCGAUGCACGCGAGACCCUUACCUACACUUGACAUACAGAGAACUUACUAGAGAUGGUUUGGUGCCUUCGGGAACUCUGAUACAGUGCUGCAUGGCUGUCGUCAGCUCGUGUUGUGGAGAUG
rnacentral:rRNA from 1 species